UAGAGAAUACCAAGGCGCUUGAGAGAACUCGGGUGAAGGAACUAGGCAAAAUGGUGCCGUAACUUCGGGAGAAGGCACGCUGGUGUGUAGGUGAAGUCCCUGCGGAUGGAGCUGAGACCAGUCGAAGAUACCAGCUGGCUGCAACUGUUUAUUAAAAACACAGCACUGUGCAAACACGAAAGUGGACGUAUACGGUGUGACG
rnacentral:rRNA from 1 species